rnacentral:rRNA from 1 species
AAGUAUGAGUUAGUGGCGGACGGGUGAGUAACGCGUGGGCAACCUGCCCUGUACCGGGGGAUAACACUUAGAAAUAGGUGCUAAUACCGCAUAAUAGGGAAUACCGCAUGGUAAUCCUUUGAAAACUCCGGUGGUACAGGAUGGGCCCGCGUCUGAUUAGCCAGUUGGCGGGGUAACGGCCCACCAAAGCGACGAUCAGCAGCCGGCCUGAGAGGGUGGACGGCCACACUGGGACUGAGACACGGCCCAGACUCCUACGGGAGGCAGCAG